rnacentral:rRNA from 1 species
CUACGGGUCGCACCAGUGGGGAAUAUUGCACAAUGGAGGAAACUCUGAUGCAGCAACGCCGCGUGGAGGAUGACACUUUUCGGAGCGUAAACUCCUUUUAUAUAGGAAGAAGAUGACGGUACUAUAUGAAUAAGCGCCGGCUAACUCCGUGCCAGCAGCCGCGGUAAUACGGAGGGCGCAAGCGUUACUCGGAAUCACUGGGCGUAAAGAGCGUGUAGGCGGAUUAAAAAGUCAGAAGUGAAAUCCUAUAGCUUAACUAUAGAACUGCUUCUGAAACUCUUAAUCUAGAAUAUGGGAGAGGUAGAUGGAAUUUCUGGUGUAGUGGUAAAAUCCGUAGAGAUCAGAAGGAAUACCGAUUGCGAAGGCGAUCUACUAGAACAUUAUUGACGCUGAGACGCGAAAGCGUGGGGAGCAAACAGGAUUAAAUACCCGAGUAGUC